CUCACUUUUCAAUGGUCAAAACUGCUGUCAAUUCUUAGAAAUGACCGAUAAUUGGUCAGGAGAAAAUACUCCCAUCAGCCUCCAGCAGCUUCAACUUCCUUAGCUCCCAAAGCUGUCUUAAAGGUAAAGUAACCCUUUGACAGUGUGAUUUCCUCCCCCUUAUCCCAACAUGCACACUAAUAUUACAUUAGGCAUUUUGUGCAUUUCCUCCUGUGCUGAUCAGAGGAGGGAGAGAGGAGCACAUGAGAUCCAGGUGGCCACAGAAGACAUACUUAUGUCCAAAAACUGGAGAAAAACCAUGAAGAGUUAAAUAAGGUAAACUACCUCAUCUCAUUUGUCGUGGUGGAAGUUUAUCCAGCCAAUGGAAUAAUAGCCUGAACUUGGUGAUAAAUUCAAAGCACAAGAAAAAACAACAGCAAAAACUAAUCAACCUAAAAAAAAACACUUGAUUCAUGAGAGGGCUAAACUACAGAUGAAAUUCUACUCCCUUCUUCAGAUAAUGGGUAAAACAAACCAGUGUUUUCUUUAUGGAGGUAAGUGUGCUAGGAAAUAAUCUUGCCUAAAAUUCAUGAUUUAAAAUUUAGUCAGGUACCCUCAAGCUCUGCUAUGAAAGACCUCUUUCAAUGCCACAAGUCUUUAUUAGUUUUUGCUAAGGCUUAGAAGUUUCAAUAUUUUUACCUAAGAGACACACCUGAGUGCUUAUUGAAGAAAGCUUUUGAUUUUCCUUCUUUUGAGAAAAAU
rnacentral:lncRNA from 1 species